rnacentral:misc_RNA from 1 species
GUGAAUCAUCGAAUUUUUGAACGCAAAUUGCACUUUCUGGUAUUCCGGAAAGUAUGCCUGUUUGAGGGUCAGUUAAAUAAAAAUCGGUGUUGUUGCUGCCUUUCGUGGUGACGCGUCGGAAUUGGGUCGUCUUACCUUCGGUUAAGUGACUUAAAAUUUUUGCAUGAUUUUCGAACGUAUUUAAUUGGCUUACGUAGGUUGAGGAAAUCAAAUGCUUAUAGGUUUCGUUAU